CUAUGUUUGAAGUGAAGAAAGAAGUGGAAAAAUGAGAGACAAUUAGAAGAGAAUUUCGAAAGGGAGACUUCAUGGUUGUAUGCCAGCAUCAGCCGUAUUGGUUUUGAGUGGGCCAAUGUAGGUUGAUCCAAGUAUCCAACUCUCUUUUCUCCUCUUUUUUUUUUUUUUUUUUUUUCUUUUUUUCCUUUCUUUUCUUUUCUUUUCUUUUCUUUCUUUAUUUAUUUAUUUCUUUCUUUCUUCUUUUUUUUUUUUUUUGAGACAGUCAAUCUUUUGGAAAUCGAAUCAAAUUGUAAAUGUUAAGUUGUAAGGUAUUUUGGGUGUAUUUGGUUAAAUUAUGUGUGUGGGGAUAUUUCUGUCAUAUUCUUCUGAUAAGACCUUCUAACAAAAUAAGGAGGAGACAUGAGAGAGUAUUCAUGUUUUGUCAUUUACCCCAUUCUCUUCAUUUUUUUCUUCUUCUCAUCUUUUCAUUCAUUCUUUCAAAGGUUUUAUUCUUUCAUCUUAGUAUUAGAGAAUCAAGAUCAUCAUAGGGGUUUAACAAAGAAGGAUCAAAGACAACUCCAAGUGUUGUCUGUAGGUGCUGACGUCAUAUGACCGUACUGUUGACAUUGACAACCAUAUGGUCGGGGCAGUAGAUCGGAACAAAACCACAACCGCCUGGAUCGUUUUGAUUUAUCAUGGUUUUGGGUGAUUUUUUUUCCAUAUUUUUUUGAAGCUAUCUAAUGGUGUUUCAAGGCAGUUUGAAAAAUGUGGGUUUCGAAACAAAUUGGAUGACUGCGACCCUACAAGAUGAUUUUCAGAUUCAAGGAUCUACAUUCAAGGAGGGUGAUUAAAGUGGCUAGGAAUCUAAUGGCUUAUUCCUUCUCAAGAGUCAAGACUUGUCACCUUAGACUGUGGCACAUCAAUCCUGCAUUGCCAGUAGUAGUUGUAGUAGUAGCAAUAAAGACUAGCUUUUUCAUUGGCACUUUCGUUUUGGACAUUCAUCAUUUUCCUAUCUAGAAAAAAAAUUGUUUCCCGAAUUAUUUGGUUAUAGUUCUAGUUCUGUUGAGUUACGAUGUGAAGCGUGUGAACUUACAAAAUGAUGUCAUAGUUUUUUAUCCAUAGAGUUCUAAUAAAAGCAUUGCACCUUUUUCUAUUUUUCA